GAUGAACGCUGGCGGCGUGCCUAAUACAUGCCAGUCGAGCGAACAGACGAGGAGCUUGCUCCUCUGACGUUAGCGGCGGACGGGUGAGUAACACGUGGAUAACCUACCUAUAAGACUGGGAUAACUUCGGGAAACCGGAGCUAAUACCGGAUAAUAUAUUGAACCGCAUGGUUCAAUAGUGAAAGACGGUUUUGCUGUCACUUAUAGAUGGAUCCGCGCCGCAUUAGCUAGUUGGUAAGGUAACGGCUUACCAAGGCAACGAUGCGUAGCCGACCUGAGAGGGUGAUCGGCCACACUGGAACUGAGACACGGUCCAGACUCCUACGGGAGGCAGCAGUAGAGAAUCUUCCGCAAUGGGCGAAAGCCUGACGGAGCAACGCCGCGUGAGUGAUGAAGGUCUUCGGAUCGUAAAACUCUGUUAUUAGGGAAGAACAAAUGUGUAAGUAACUAUGCACGUCUUGACGGUACCUAAUCAGAAAGCCACGGCUAACUACGUG
rnacentral:rRNA from 1 species